UUAAUUGAAGAGUUUGAUCAUGGCUCAGAUUGAACGCUGGCGGCAGGCCUAACACAUGCAAGUCGAGCGGUAACAGAUUGAUAGCUUGCUAUCAAUGCUGACGAGCGGCGGACGGGUGAGUAAUGCCUGGGAAUAUACCCUGAUGUGGGGGAUAACUAUUGGAAACGAUAGCUAAUACCGCAUAAUCUCUUCGGAGCAAAGAGGGGGACCUUCGGGCCUCUC
rnacentral:rRNA from 2 species